ACUAUCAACAACUUGGAUCUCUUGGCUCAUCACGAUGAAGAACGCAGCGAACCGCAUGAUAUUUUGUGACUUGCAGAUGUGAAUCAUCAAUCUUGAACGCACAUUGCGCGUGGCAUUGUGCCGCACGGAUGGAGGAGCGUGUUCCUCUGGGAUCGCAUUGCUUUCUUGAAAUGGAUUUUAAACUCUCAAUUAUUACGUCAUUUCACCUCCUUCAUCCAGAGAUUACCCGCUGAACUUAAGCAUAUCAAUAAGCGGAGGAAAAGAAACCAACGAAAGUUGCCUCGGUAACGGCGAGUGAAGCGGCAAAAGCUCAAAUUUGAAACCCUCGGGAUUGUAAUUUGAAGAUUUGGCAUUGGAGAAAGCUUAACCCGAUUUGCUUGGAAUGAGUACGUCAUAGGGUGACAACCCCGUCUGGCUAACCGUUCUCCAUGUAUUGCCUUAUCAAGAGUCGAGUUGUUGGAAUGCAGCUCCAAAGUGGGUGGUAAACUCCAUCUAAAAGCUAAAUACUGGUGAGGAGACCGAUAGCGAACAGAGGUACUGUGAAGGAAAGAUUGAAAGAACUUUGAAAGAGGUGAAAUGGUAUGUAGGAAAUUGUUAGGGAAAUGAGGUGGAGAGUGGCCGGGUUUCAGCCGCCCCUCGUGGGCGAUUGUACUGCCGACGCCGAGUCAUCGACCUUGAGGACGAGGGUUACAAAUGGGAGCGCCUUCGGGCGUUCUCUAACCCUCCACUGCCACCGACGACAUAAUCCACCCAUUCCUGCAUCUUGAAACACGGACCAAGGAGUCUAAUGGAUAUGUGAGUGUUAGGGUGGCAAACUGGCCGCGCAAUGAAAGUGAAUGGAUUCGUUCAGAAUCGACCGAACUUGAUUAUUAUGAUUUUGGUAAACAUCCCAUUGGGACCCGAAAGAUGGUGAACUAUGCCUGGAUAGGGUGAAGUCAGAGGAAACUCUGAUGGAGGCUCAUGGCAGUUCUGACGUGCAAAUCGAUCAUGGGAUCUGGGUAUAGGGGCGAAGACUAAUCGAACCAUCUAGUAGCUGGUUCUAUGAAGUUUCCCUCAGGAUAGCAGAAGCUCAUAUCAGUUUAUGAGGUAAAGCGAAUGAUGAUUAAGUAUUGGGGGCGAAAUGCCCUCGGCUUAUUCUCUUUAAAAUAUGUAGAGCCUUGGUUACCAAUCGAACCGUGGCUACGAAUGAAGGAAACUUCUAGUGGGCCAUUUUGGUAAGCAGAGCUGGCGGUGGGAUGAACCGAGCAGUGGGUUAAAAGGUGCCCGGAAUACACGCUCAUCAGACACCACAAAAAGGUGUUAGUUUAUCUAGACAGCCGGACGGUGGCCAUGGAAGUCGGAAUCCAUAAGGAGUGUCACAACUCACCGGCCGAAUGAACUAGCCCUGAAAAUGGAUGGCGCUUAAGCGUGUUACCUAUACUCUACCGGAGGUUUCUCAGUAGGCAGGCGUGAAGUUGUUGUUGAGAAGCGUUGGCCGUGAGGCUGCGUCGAACGGCCUAGUGCAGAUCUUGGUGGUGGCAAAUAUUCAAAUGAGAACUUGAAGACUGAAAGGAAGUGGGGAAGGUUCCCGUGUGAACGGCCAGUUGGACACGGUAGAGUCGAUCCCUAAGGGUGGCAUAACUGUAUCGCGUACGGCCCGAUAGGGCCUUCUCCAAGGAAGCCGGUUGAAAUUCGGCGCGGAUGGAUUCUCCACGGCAACGCGUAACGCUGAAUGUGGGGACGGUGGCACAGAGUCUUGGAAGGAGUUAUCUUUUCUUUUAGCAGGUCAACACCCUGGAAUUGGUUGUCUAGAGAUGGGGUAUCGUUCCGGAAAGAGGGGGCGGCUUUGUCCUCCCGUGCACUUGACGCCUUGAAAACCCGCAGGAAGGAAUAGUUUUCACGCCAAGUCAUUAUUAACCGCAGCAGGUCUCAAGGUGAACAACCUCUAGUUGAUGGGAAUAAUGUAGAUAGGGAAGUCGGCAAAAUAGAUCCGUAACUUCGGGAUGAAGGAUUGGCUCUGGGGUUGGUGGAUGGAAGCGUGGGGAGACCCAAGGGACUGGCGGCUGGGCAACUGGCGGCGGACCGCGGCGACGCAAUAAAACAAUCCACAUCAUCAACCGCCGAACUGGGUACGGACAAGGGAAUCUGACUGUCUAGAUAAAACAUAGCUUUGCGAUGGAUUUGUAAACAAUGUUGACGCAAAGUGAUUUCUUACUUCCGGUGCUCUGAAUGUCAAGUGAGAGAAAUUCAACCAAGCGCUGAAGCGGCGGGGUAACUAUGACUCUCUCUUAAGGUAAAUGCCUCGUCAUCUAGUGGUGACGCGCAUGAAUGGAUUAACAAAUUCCACUGUCCCUAUCUACUAUCUAGCGAAACCACAGCCAAGGGAACGGGCUUGGCAGAAUCAGCAGCGGAAAGAAGACCCUGUUGAGCUUGACUCUAGUUUAUUGAGAAGGGGCCUUAGGGGUGUGUAGAAUAGAGGUGGGGAGCUUCGGCGCCGGUGAAAUACCACUACCCUUAUCGUUUCUUUAUGCUUAUUUAGUAAGUGGAGUGGUUUAACAACCAUUUUCUAGCAUUCCUUUCAGGCUGAAGACAUUUGUUGUCAGGUGGGGAGUUUGGCUGGGCGGCAUCUGUUAAAGAUAACGCAGAUGUCCUAAGAGGACUCAAUGAGAACAGAAAUCAUGUAGAACAAAGGGUAAAGUCCCUUGAUUUUUGAUUUUCAGUGUGAAUACAAACCAUGAAAGUGUGGCUAUCGAUCCUUUAGUUGUUCCGGGUUUGAACCUAGGGUGCCAGAAAAGUUACUACAGGGAUAACUGGCUUGUGGCAGUCAAGCGUUCAUAGCGACAUUGCUUUUUAGUCUUCGAUGUCGGCUCUUCCCUAUCAUGCACCGAGCAGAAUUCGGUAAGCGUUAGUUGUUCACCCACUAAUAGAGACGUGAGCUGGGUUUGAACCCGUCGUGGAGACAGGUUAGUUUUACCCUACUGAUGGACUUGUUGCAAUAGUGGUGAACUUGGUACGAGGAGGAACAGUUCAUUCGGCGGAUAAUUGGUGUUUGCUGCUGUCUGAUCGGGCAAUGCGGCGGAAGCUACCAUCCGCUGGAUUAUGGCUGAACGCCUCUAGGGUCAGAACCCAUAGAAGUGAUGGUGGGGGUGGGAUGGAUAUGAAUAAGUAUCGCGGUGAUACCGGAGGGGAGUUUGGUGGAUAAAAUUGUCUGCUCUUCCUGGUUAUGGGUUACCCUUGU
rnacentral:rRNA from 1 species